AGGAUUCCCCUAGUAACUGCGAGUGAAGCGGGAAAAGCUCAAAUUUGAAAUCUGGCGGUCCUUGGCCGUCCGAGUUGUAAUCUAGAGAAGUGUUGCCCGCGCUGGACCGUGUACAAGUCUCCUGGAAUGGAGCGUCAUAGAGGGUGAGAAUCCCGUCUCUGACACGGACUACCAGUGCUUUGUGGUAUGCUCUCGAAGAGUCGAGUUGUUUGGGAAUGCAGCUCAAAAUGGGUGGUAAAUUCCAUCUAAAGCUAAAUAUUGGCGAGAGACCGAUAGCGAACAAGUACCGUGAGGGAAAGAUGAAAAGAACUUUGGAAAGAGAGUUAAACAGUACGUGAAAUUGCUGAAAGGGAAACGCUUGAAGUCAGUCGCGUUGGCCAGGAAUCAGCCUUGCAUUGCUUGGUGUACUUUCUGGUUGACGGGUCAGCAUCAAUUUUGACCGCUGGAAAAAGGCUUGGGGAAUGUGGCAGCUUCGGCUGUGUUAUAGCCCCUUGUCACAUACAGCGGUUGGGAUUGAGGAACUCAGCACGCCGCAAGGCCGGGUUUCGACCACGUCCGUGCUUAGGAUGCUGGCAUAAUGGCUUUAAGCGACCCGUCUUGAAACACGGACCAAGGAGUCUAACAUGCCUGCGAGUGUUUGGGUGGAAAACCCGAGCGCGCAAUGAAAGUGAAAGUUGAGAUCCCUGUCGUGGGGAGCAUCGACGCCCGGACCAGAACUUUUGGGACGGAUCCGCGGUAGAGCAUGUAUGUUGGGACCCGAAAGAUGGUGAACUAUGCCUGAAUAGGGUGAAGCCAGAGGAAACUCUGGUGGAGCUCGUAGCGAUUCUGACGUGCAAAUCGAUCGUCAAAUUUGGGUAUAGGGGCGAAAGACUAAUCGAACCAUCUAGUAGCU
rnacentral:rRNA from 1 species